AUAGAUACCCAGGUAGUCCACGCCCUAAACGAUGCGAACUGGAUGUUGGGUACAUUACGGUACUCAGUGUCGAAGCUAACGCGUUAAGUUCGCCGCCUGGGGAGUACGGUCGCAAGACUGAAACUCAAAGGAAUUGACGGGGGCCCGCACAAGCGGUGGAGUAUGUGGUUUAAUUCGAUGCAACGCGAAGAACCUUACCUGGCCUUGACAUCUGUCGAAUCCUGCAGAGAUGCGGGAGUGCCGCAAGGAACGACAAGACAGGUGCUGCAUGGCUGUCGUCAGCUCGUGUCGUGAGAUGUUGGGUUAAGUCCCGCAACGAGCGCAACCCUUGUCCCUAGUUGCCAGCACGUAAUGGUGGGAACUCUAGGGAGACUGCCGGUGACAAACCGGAGGAAGGUGGGGAUGACGUCAAGUCCUCAUGGCCCUUACGGCCAGGGCUACACACGUACUACAAUGGUCGGUACAGAGGGUUGCGAAGCCGCGAGGUGGAGCCAAUCCCAGAAAACCGAUCCCAGUCCGGAUCGGAGU
rnacentral:rRNA from 1 species